GCUUAGCCCUAAACCUAGAUAUUUAACAUACAAAAAUAUCCGCCAGAGAACUACGAGCAUAAACGCUUAAAACUCUAAGGACUUGGCGGUACCUCAAACCCUCCUAGAGGAGCCUGUUCUAUAAUCGAUAAUCCACGAUAUACCCUACCAUCUCUUGCUAAUCCCGCCUAUAUACCGCCGUCACCAGCUUACCCCCUGAGGGAUAUAAAAAGUAAGCAAAAUAACUAAAAAGUUAAUAAGUCAGGUCAAGGUGUAGCUUACUGAGAUGGGAGAAAUGGGCUACAUUUUCUACAUUAGAAAUUAAUUUACGGAAGGAAACUAUGAAACUAGUCCUGCAAGUAGGAUUUAGCAGUAAACCUGGAUCAUAAUGCCUAAUUUAAACCGGUCCUGAGGUGCGC
rnacentral:rRNA from 1 species